GAGCUCAGUCGGGUUAAACAUGGCGCUGAUAACGCCAAGGUUGCAGGUUUGAUCCCCGUAUGGGGCA